rnacentral:rRNA from 1 species
GAUGAACGCUGGCGGCGUGCCUAAUACAUGCAAGUCGAGCGAACGGACGAGAAGCUUGCUUCUCUGAUGUUAGCGGCGGACGGGUGAGUAACACGUGGAUAACCUACCUAUAAGACUGGGAUAACUUCGGGAAACCGGAGCUAAUACCGGAUAAUAUUUUGAACCGCAUGGUUCAAAAGUGAAAGACGGUCUUGCUGUCACUUAUAGAUGGAUCCGCGCUGCAUUAGCUAGUUGGUAAGGUAACGGCUUACCAAGGCAACGAUGCAUAGCCGACCUGAGAGGGUGAUCGGCCACACGGGAACUGAGACAGGGUCCAGACACCGACAGGGGGCAGCAGUAGGGAAUCUUCCGCAAUGGGCGAAAGCCUGACGGAGCAACGCCGCGGGAGGGAUGAAGGUCUUCGGAUCGUAAAACUCUGUUAUUAGGGAAGAACAAAUGUGUAAGUAACUGUGCACAUCUUGACGGUACCUAAUCAGAAAGCCACGGCUAACUCCGUG